rnacentral:rRNA from 1 species
AGAGUGAAUGCUGGCGGUAGGCCUAACACAUGCAAGUCGAACGGCAGCACAGUAGGAGCUUGCUCUUACGGGUGGCGAGUGGCGGACGGGUGAGGAAUACAUCGGAAUCUACCUUUUGGUGGGGGACAACGUAGGGAAACUUACGCUAAUACCGCAUACGCCCUUCGGGGGAAAGCCGGGGACCAGCAAUGGCCUGGCGCUGAUAGAUGAGCCGAUGUCGGAUUAGCUAGUUGGUGAGGUAAUGGCUCACCAAGGCGACGAUCCGUAGCUGGUCUGAGAGGAUGAUCAGCCCACACUGGAACCUGAGACACGGUCCAGACCUCCUACGGGAGGCAGCAGGUAGGGGAAUA